UGGAUGAGCCCGCGGCCUAUCAGCUUGUUGGUGGGGUAAUGGCCUACCAAGGCGUCGACGGGUAGCCGGCCUGAGAGGGUGGACGGCCACAUUGGGACUGAGAUACGGCCCAGACUCCUACGGGAGGCAGCAGUGGGGAAUAUUGCACAAUGGGCGGAAGCCUGAUGCAGCGACGCCGCGUGGGGGAUGAAGGCCUUCGGGUUGUAAACUCCUUUCGCCAGGGACGAAGCCCUUUGGGAUGACGGUACCUGGAUAAGAAGCACCGGCUAACUACGUGCCAGCAGCGCGG
rnacentral:rRNA from 1 species